CGAUCUAACGCCCCAUUAACGACCACGCCUAUAUCCAGCUUCCCCUUACCCUCCGGUCCCUCCCUCCGAGAGAGAGUGCGAGAGACAGAGAGGAGAUAGAUUUCGUUCCGUCAGAGGUUUUUGCCUCCUUUAUUUCAGCAAAAGGUAUCUGCGGAUUUUGACGGUAACUGAAUUUCAUGGAGUGGUGGGACAAAAUGAUCGUUCCUAUCAGAAAAGCUUGGGUUAAUGUUGCCUCAACAUCUUGGUAUUCGAAAAACGGGGCUUGUUAAGCUUCGCCAUGAUGUGAGGACUUGUGAGUACGAGGAUGUCCACAUCUUGUGGGAGUUGCUGAAGAAGAAUGACGCACCGCUUCAAACAUCUACAGCUGCAGGAAGCACAAAGAGACGAUUUUGCAGGGUUGUUGAGUGGGCAAAUAUUGCUCCAAUAUUGCUUUGCCACCAUGGUGUAUAGUCAAAUUAUUAGCUGUGAUUAUUCUGUAAGCUCCAAAAUGCUUGUGGUAGAUAAAACUUUUUGGCACUGUCUUACAACUUUGGAGUUCAGAAGGAUUAUAAAAUGCAAGAUGUGUGAGUGCAUGGUCGCAUGAUCGUGCAUCAAAACCUCCUCAGGUGGGGGAAGUGGCCUGUCACUCGCACUUGUCUGUGGCAAAAUAAAUUGGUGUGUGUUUCAUUUGAUUUCUUGGCUGUGGUUAGUGUGAUUUGUGGGAU